CUGUCCAGGAGUCAUUCUCAGUCAACACACAGCAUGGAAAUGUGGGGCACUUUACAUCUCCUGGUGGUCCUGCUGCUCUGUUUCCCUGGUGCCAGAUGUGACAUCCAGUUGACUCAGUCUCCAUCCUCCCUGUCUGCAACUCUAGGAGACAGAGUCACCAUCACUUGCAGGGCCAGUAAGAACAUAUACAGCAGUUUAGCCUGGUAUCAGCAAAAACCAGGGAAAGCCCCUAAGCUCCUGAUCUAUAAUGCUAACAGUUUGGAUUCUGGUGUCCCAUCAAGGUUCAGUGGCAGUGGGUCUGGGACAGACUACACUCUCACAAUCAGCAGCCUGGAGUCUGGAGAUGCUGCAACUUAUUAUUGUCAACAGUAUAGUGAGUACCCUCCCACAGUGAAACAAGUCAUAACAUAA